rnacentral:rRNA from 1 species
CGCACGGUGGAUGCCUUGACACUAGGAGUCGAUGAAGGACGGGACUAACGCCGAUAUGCUUCGGGGAGCUGUAAGUAAGCUUUGAUCCGAAGAUUUCCGAAUGGGGAAACCCACCAUACGUAAUGGUAUGGUAUCCUUAUCUGAAUACAUAGGGUAAGGAAGACAGACCCAGGGAACUGAAACAUCUAAGUACCUGGAGGAAGAGAAAGCAAAUGCGAUUUCCUGAGUAGCGGCGAGCGAAACGGAACAUAGCCCAAACCAAGAGGCUUGCCUCUUGGGGUUGUAGGACAUUCUAUACGGAGUUACAAAGGAACGAGGUAGACGAAGCGACCUGGAAAGGUCCGUCGUAGAGGGUAACAACCCCGUAGUCGAAACUUCGUUCUCUCUUGAAUGUAUCCUGAGUACGGCGGAACACGUGAAAUUCCGUCGGAAUCUGGGAGGACCAUCUCCCAAGGCUAAAUACUCCCUAGUGAUCGAUAGUGAACCAGUACCGUGAGGGAAAGGUGAAAAGCACCCCGGAAGGGGAGUGAAAGAGAUCCUGAAACCGUGUGCCUACAAAUAGUCAGAGCCCGUUAACGGGUGAUGGCGUGCCUUUUGUAGAAUGAACCGGCGAGUUACGAUCCCGUGCGAGGUUAAGCUGAAGAGGCGGAGCCGCAGCGAAAGCGAGUCUGAAUAGGGCGUUUAGUACGUGGUCGUAGACCCGAAACCAGGUGAUCUACCCAUGUCCAGGGUGAAGUUCAGGUAACACUGAAUGGAGGCCCGAACCCACGCACGUUGAAAAGUGCGGGGAUGAGGUGUGGGUAGCGGAGAAAUUCCAAUCGAACCUGGAGAUAGCUGGUUCUCCCCGAAAUAGCUUUAGGGCUAGCCUUAAGUGUAAGAGUCUUGGAGGUAGAGCACUGAUUGGACUAGGGGUCCUCAUCGGAUUACCGAAUUCAGUCAAACUCCGAAUGCCAAUGACUUAUCCUUAGGAGUCAGACUGCGAGUGAUAAGAUCCGUAGUCAAAAGGGAAACAGCCCAGACCGCCAGCUAAGGUCCCAAAGUGUGUAUUAAGUGGAAAAGGAUGUGGAGUUGCUUAGACAACUAGGAUGUUGGCUUAGAAGCAGCCACCAUUUAAAGAGUGCGUAAUAGCUCACUAGUCGAGUGACUCUGCGCCGAAAAUGUACCGGGGCUAAAUACACCACCGAAGCUGCGGAUUGAUACCGAAUGGUAUCAGUGGUAGGGGAGCGUUCUAAGGACAGUGAAGUCAGACCGGAAGGACUGGUGGAGUGCUUAGAAGUGAGAAUGCCGGUAUGAGUAGCGAAAGACGGGUGAGAAUCCCGUCCACCGAAUGCCUAAGGUUUCCUGAGGAAGGCUCGUCCGCUCAGGGUUAGUCAGGACCUAAGCCGAGGCCGACAGGCGUAGGCGAUGGACAACAGGUUGAUAUUCCUGUACCACCUCUUUAUCGUUUGAGCAAUGGAGGGACGCAGAAGGAUAGAAGAAGCGUGCGAUUGGUUGUGCACGUCCAAGCAGUUAGGCUGAUAAGUAGGCAAAUCCGCUUAUCGUAAAGGCUGAGCUGUGAUGGGGAAGCUCCUUAUGGAGCGAAGUCUUUGAUUCCCCGCUGCCAAGAAAAGCUUCUAGCGAGAUAAAAGGUGCCUGUACCGCAAACCGACACAGGUAGGCGAGGAGAGAAUCCUAAGGUGUGCGAGAGAACUCUGGUUAAGGAACUCGGCAAAAUGACCCCGUAACUUCGGGAGAAGGGGUGCUUUCUUAACGGAAAGCCGCAGUGAAUAGGCCCAAGCGACUGUUUAGCAAAAACACAGCUCUCUGCGAAGCCGUAAGGCGAAGUAUAGGGGGUGACACCUGCCCGGUGCUGGAAGGUUAAGGAGAGGGGUUAGCGUAAGCGAAGCUCUGAACUGAAGCCCCAGUAAACGGCGGCCGUAACUAUAACGGUCCUAAGGUAGCGAAAUUCCUUGUCGGGUAAGUUCCGACCCGCACGAAAGGUGUAACGAUUUGGGCACUGUCUCAACCAGAGACUCGGUGAAAUUAUAGUACCUGUGAAGAUGCAGGUUACCCGCGACAGGACGGAAAGACCCCGUGGAGCUUUACUGUAGCCUGAUAUUGAAUUUUGGUACAGUUUGUACAGGAUAGGCGGGAGCCUUUGAAACCGGAGCGCUAGCUUCGGUGGAGGCGCUGGUGGGAUACCGCCCUGACUGUAUUGAAAUUCUAACCUACGGGUCUUAUCGACCCGGGAGACAGUGUCAGGUGGGCAGUUUGACUGGGGCGGUCGCCUCCUAAAGUGUAACGGAGGCGCCCAAAGGUUCCCUCAGAAUGGUUGGAAAUCAUUCGUAGAGUGCAAAGGCAUAAGGGAGCUUGACUGCGAGACCUACAAGUCGAGCAGGGACGAAAGUCGGGCUUAGUGAUCCGGUGGUUCCGCAUGGAAGGGCCAUCGCUCAACGGAUAAAAGCUACCCCGGGGAUAACAGGCUUAUCUCCCCCAAGAGUCCACAUCGACGGGGAGGUUUGGCACCUCGAUGUCGGCUCAUCGCAUCCUGGGGCUGUAGUCGGUCCCAAGGGUUGGGCUGUUCGCCCAUUAAAGCGGUACGCGAGCUGGGUUCAGAACGUCGUGAGACAGUUCGGUCCCUAUCCGUCGUGGGCGUAGGAAAUUUGAGAGGAGCUGUCCUUAGUACGAGAGGACCGGGAUGGACGCACCGCUGGUGUACCAGUUGUUCUGCCAAGGGCAUAGCUGGGUAGCUAUGUGCGGAAGGGAUAAGUGCUGAAAGCAUCUAAGCAUGAAGCCCCCCUCAAGAUGAGAUUUCCCAUAGCGUAAGCUAGUAAGAUCCCUGAAAGAUGAUCAGGUUGAUAGGUUCGAGGUGGAAGCAUGGUGACAUGUGGAGCUGACGAAUACUAAUAGAUCGAGGACUUAACCAU